AGCGAACGCUGGCGGCAAGCCUAACACAUGCAAGUCGAACGGAUCCUUCGGGAUUAGUGGCGGACGGGUGAGUAACACGUGGGAACGUGCCCUUUGGUUCGGAACAACUCAGGGAAACUUGAGCUAAUACCGGAUGUGCCCUUCGGGGGAAAGAUUUAUCGCCAUUGGAGCGGCCCGCGUCUGAUUAGCUAGUUGGUGAGGUAAAGGCUCACCAAGGCGACGAUCAGUAGCUGGUCUGAGAGGAUGAUCAGCCACAUUGGGACUGAGACACGGCCCAAACUCCUACGGGAGGCAGCAGUGGGGAAUCUUGCGCAAUGGGCGAAAGCCUGACGCAGCCAUGCCGCGUGAAUGAUGAAGGUCUUAGGAUUGUAAAAUUCUUUCACCGGGGACGAUAAUGACGGUACCCGGAGAAUAAGCUCCGGCUAACUCCGUGCCAGCAGCCGCAGUAACAC
rnacentral:rRNA from 1 species